rnacentral:rRNA from 1 species
UGGGGAAUAUUGCACAAUGGGCGCAAGCCUGAUGCAGCCAUGCCGCGGGUAUGAAGAAGGCCUUCGGGUUGUAAAGUACUUUCAGCGGGGAGGAAGGGAGUAAAGUUAAUACCUUUACUCAUUGACGUUACCCGCAGAAGAAGCACCGGCUAACUCCGUGCCAGCAGCCGCGGUAAUACGGAGGGUGCAAGCAUUAAUCGGAAUUACUGGGCGUAAAGCGCACGCAGGCGGUUUGUUAAGUCAGAUGUGAAAUCCCCGGGCUCAACCUGGGAACUGCAUCUGAUACUGGCAAGCUUGAGUCUCGUAGAGGGGGGUAGAAUUCCAGGUGUAGCGGUGAAAUGCGUAGAGAUCUGGAGGAAUACCGGUGGCGAAGGCGGCCCCCUGGACGAAGACUGACGCUCAGGUGCGAAAGCGUGGGGAGCAAACAGG